UAACAGGACUACCAGGUAUCUAAUCUGUUUGCUCCCCAUACCGUGCAUGAGCGUCAGUGUUAUCCCAGGAGGCUGCCUUCGCCAUCGGUGUUCCUCCGCAUAUCUACGCAUUUCACUGCUGCACGCGGAAUUCACCUCCCUCUGACACACUCUAGCUCGGUAGUUAAAAAUGAAGUUCCAAAGUUAAGCUCUGGGAUUUCACAUCUUUCUCUCCGAACCGCCUGCGCACGCUUUACGCCCAGUAAUUCCGAUUAACGCUUGCACCUACGUAAUUACCACGCUUCAGCGUAGUUAGCCGGUUAGCAAUGUAGGUACCGUCGAUUGCGAUGUGUCCGUGCCGUUUCUUUCCUGCCCAAAAAUUGCUACAACCAGGGCCUUCAUCGUACACGCAGGAUGGCUGGAUCAGGGUUUCCCAGCCGUGUCAAAAUUUCUACUGCCUCCAU
rnacentral:misc_RNA from 1 species